rnacentral:rRNA from 1 species
GUGAGGAAUAUUGGACAAUGGGUGAAAGCCUGAUCCAGCCAUCACGCGUGAAGGACGACGGCCCUAUGGGUUGUAAACUUCUUUUGUACAGGGAUAAACCUCCCCUCGUGAGGGGAGCUGAAGGUACUGUACGAAUAAGCACCGGCUAACUCCGUGCCAGCAGCCGCGGUAAUACGGAGGGUGCAAGCGUUAUCCGGAUUUAUUGGGUUUAAAGGGUCCGUAGGCGGGCCCGUAAGUCAGUGGUGAAAUCUCGCAGCUUAACUGCGAAACUGCCAUUGAUACUGCGGGUCUUGAGUGAAUUUGAAGUGGCUGGAAUAAGUAGUGUAGCGGUGAAAUGCAUAGAUAUUACUUAGAACACAGAUUGCGAAGGCAGGUCGCUAAGAUUCAACUGACGCUGAGGGACGAAAGCGUGGGGAGCGAACAGGAUUAGAAACCCGAGUAGUCC